GAUCUCCAAUAACAUUUCUCGUCUGUCAAUAUUAAUAGAAAAAUAAGAAAAGAAUAAAGGUUAUUCUUAAACUAUAGUCAUAAUCCAUAUAAAGUUCCACAAACAAACAAGCACAGGUACCCCUUAGUUUCCUAAACAAACAAGCACAGUUAUUCAAAGUUCUCUUUCUUGUAAAUUAACAAAAGAUAUUUAAUGCCUCAAGAGCCGAGAGCUAACCUAAGAUAUUUAAUGCCUCAAGAGCCGAGAGCUAACCUAAGCCGCAUAGCUAAGUAACACAAAUACAAGGUAAAAUUCUGGGGAUCAUGCACUAUUUGAAAAUAAAUCAGCAAAUCAAGAAAUCAAGAUGGAAAUUUUUAUUUUAAGAAGAAAAACAGAGAAAGUAAAAGGAGUUAUCAAGUAGUAAAUACAUAUAUCAUGAAUAAAUAAGAAACAGUUAAUUAGAAUCAAAAAG
rnacentral:misc_RNA from 1 species